rnacentral:rRNA from 1 species
AAGGCCUCUGCUUGCAGGGGUACUCGAGUGGCGAACGGGUGAGUAACACGUGGGUGAUCUGCCCUGCACUUUGGGAUAAGCCUGGGAAACUGGGUCUAAUACCAGAUAGGACCACGUCUUGGAUGGUGUGGUGGAAAGUUUUUUCGGUGUGGGAUGAGCUCGCGGCCUAUCAGCUUGUUGGUGGGGUAAUGGCCUACCAAGGCGUCGACGGGUAGCCGGCCUGAGAGGGUGUACGGCCACAUUGGGACUGAGAUACGGCCCAGACUCCUACGGGAGGCAGCAGUGGGGAAUAUUGCACAAUGGGCGCAAGCCUGAUGCAGCGACGCCGCGUGGGGGAUGACGGCCUUCGGGUUGUAAACUCCUUUCGCCAGGGACGAAGCG